rnacentral:snRNA from 1 species
AUAUUUUGGCCAGCACAUAUUCUAAAAUUGGAACGAUACAGAGAAGAUUAGCAUGGCCCCUGUGUAAGGAUGACAAAAGGUGCAUAUGGUCCAAGUCCUG